rnacentral:lncRNA from 10 species
GGCGGGGCUGCGAGCGGAGCGGGGCGAGGGUAUACGGCUUCAGGAGUCUCGAAUCCCACGGGCGUACGGCUUCAGGAGUCUCGAAUCCCACGGGCGUACGGCUUCAGGAGUCUCGAAUCCCACGGGCGUACGGCUUCAGGAGUCUCGAAUCCCACGGGCGUACGGCUUCAGGAGUCUCGAAUCCCACGGGCGUACGGCUUCAGGAGUCUCGAAUCCCACGGGCGUACGGCUUCAGGAGUCUCGAAUCCCACGGGCGUACGGCUUCAGGAGUCUCGAAUCCCACGGGCGUACGGCUUCAGGAGUCUCGAAUCCCACGGGCGUACGGCUUCAGGAGUCUCGAAUCCCACGGGCGUACGGCUUCAGGAGUCUCGAAUCCCACGGGCGUACGGCUUCAGGAGUCUCGAAUCCCACGGGUGUACGGCUUCAGGAGUCUUGAGGGGCUCCUUUGAGUUGAGAGUUGUGGAUCCAAGUCUCAGAGCACUGAAGUUUUGUGGCAGAGAAGAACUUGUUAUGGUCCCUUCCAAUAGAGUUCAAGGACAGUCUUUCUCUGGUGUCAUUUCCAAAGGACUCAAUCGCUGAGUUUUGGACUCUGAGAAAUCUAGUUGUCAUCUGCUGGUGGGUCAUGAAGGCCCCCCCUUUUUUUCUUUUUCUUUUUCUUUUUCUUUUUUUUUUUGAGACAGAGUCUCACUUGAUCACCCAGGCUAGAGUGCAGUGGCGUGAUCUUGACUCACUGCAACUUCUGCCACCCAGGUUCAAGCAAUUCUCCUGCCUCAGCCUCCCAAGUAGCUGGGAUUACAGGCGCCUGCCACCACACCUGGCUAAUUUUUGUAUUUUUAGUAGAGACGGGAUUUCAUCAUCUUGGCCAGGCUGGUCUUGAACUCCUGACCUCGUGAUCCGCCUGCCUCAGCCUCCCAAAGUGCUGGGAU